UUGUUUGGCUUUCCACAAAAUUAAAAAUGAAAUGCUACUACUCGUUUGCCAAACACAUCAACUAUUUGGUCAAAUUCAUUUUGAGGGAAUCUGGAGAAUGUUCCAUUGUUUCAAAAGUUGCCUUUUUAGAAGAGGAGGCUUGCUCCCCACCCCCACACCCCAAGAGAGCAAUGUAGAGAACAGAAUUCUCCUGGAAAAAAUUUCCAGCUCUAAUUCUCAAGGAAAAGUAAUUUCUUAUUUGCCUCCUCAGCCCCCUUCGAGGACCACACGGCAGUUUUGUUCUAUUGCUUUUUUUCCUUCCCCCUCCUGUAACCUCUCAUUCUUACAGCGCUGAAAAGUUUAAACAAAAAUGACUUUGUUUGGUUCUGCAGAAUUAACACGACACUCAGGCUUAUUUCUAAUUGACUGCAGAUGUUUUUUCAGCAGAGAAAAGCCUCAGCCUUGUGUGCAUAAUUCUUACACUGCCCUAAUGGAGGGAAGUGAGUCCAAAAUUAGCAACUUUCUCAAGUCAAAUCUGGCUAUGUGCCACUUAAGACUUUGGUUUUUGUUGUUGUUUUGUUUUGUUUUGUUAUAUAUAUAUUUUCCAAUUUUCCCAGGGUGUUCAGACAGAAGAUCUUAAAAAAUCUGCACAGGGAGGACCACCACGUUUGUAAGAAACUUAGAAACUCACACUAAUCAUUGUGGCAGUGCGUUUACGUCUCCACUCUGCUCUCUGCCCUCAGAAAUAGAACUUUAAAAAAAAUCGCAAAAUCGUUGAUCUCUGCACAGCAGAGUGUCAAGCUUUGGAGGGAAUGAGGUCAACUCCAGGGUUCUGUUUUGACUGCCCUGAGACGGAGCUGCUGACAUGGACAGACUUGUGAACACCAGCUGAAGACAGGGACACUCUGUGUUCUUUUGACUCUUGGCUUCAACAAUUUGCUGCGAAAGAUGUUACAACCUCAUUGUUCCUUCCAGAUCCAAGGCCCUGUGUUUAUGUGUCCAGAACAGCAGGUCUUGGGGCUGAUUAUGUUGUCUUUUUAAAUUAUCACUUUGAUUAUUGAGAACAUCAUAAUUAGGUGGUUCGUGUACAACGUCUCUGCUCCAGAGGCCUGACCACGGGACUGACUAGAGAAAGAAUGCAUGGCCCAUGGAGACGUGUGUUGUAGGUGGAGGAGGUGUGUGUGCUGUGCUCUUCUCUCCUUUCGGUGGAAAUUUCAGGACAAUUAAGCCAACUUUCAGAAGGUAUGAUUACAUCUAAUGUGAAAAUAAAGAAUCCCCAGGGAUUACACAUUCAUACUUGAGGAAAGAAUGUCUAAGUGGUUAGAGGGACGUUGUAAUAAUGCUAAUGAACAGAGAAGUCAGACCCUGGUGUACACUCAGGACUGGAUUUAGACAGAUACUCAGUGAAGGAAGAGGAUUCCUGACGACCACCAGCAUCGUCAGCCCCCCACCCAGACUGCUGACGUGCGGCUACUCUCACCUGGAGCCCUCUUGCUGCCCUGCGGUCACUGGGUUUUUAUUGGUUUCAACAGUAUGCUUGCAUUUUGGAAAAGUUCAUCUGCAAGUACAGCGUCGACAGCAGGUUUUAGUGAUCCAGACAACACUGACUUACCAUGGAUUUUGCCUCCACGGAAUUAUUUUCAAGGACUCAGUUACACAAUCAUUCAGAUCCUAAUUUAGAUAGAGGAAGCAUCCUUUUGGCAUAUGGUUUCAAAAAAGACUUUCAAGCAAAACUUAACACUUUGAGGAGAGAGGAAAGAUAUAUUCAUCUUCUGUUUUUGUUUUUGUUUUUUCUUCCGGUAAUCGUAAUAGGCCUUCCAGGAAGUCUCUGUCACGGACUCAGAGCAGGUCACAGCUUGAGAAGCUAGAGGUGGACUCUUGGCUUCUAGAGAACCAGCUCUUCUCUUGCUCAGACUGUGUUUAUGAAAAUGGAAAAGUCACGAGAGCAUAUCCUACUGGGUUGUGUUUUUUUCCCCCACAUUGUAGGAAAUUGUUGUUAAUAAACUACUUAAACAUUAAAAAUGUAGGAAUUUCUGAAGUUGCUGUAAUAAUAAGACACUGUCCUUAAGAGCUGGGAAGGUUUAAUGGGCUCAGCCCAUCUCUGUGCAUAUGAGAAGAUUUGGCGCUUUAAUGAUAAAUAAUGAGCAUGCUAUUUCAAAGUGGAAACAGCAAUAUGAAAGUUGAGGAAAAAGAAUUACUGGACACAUGAACAAUGUCUUUAUAAAUACCCUCUACGUGAGAAUUCUUACAGGUUAAGAGAUGUUAAGCUUCCAUAUGCCAAGUAGCAUACCUACCUGCCUGACCUAUGACCUUACCAAGCAGAUGCCAAGCUGAGCUGAAACUAUGAGACAUUCUGUGUGAGACUUGGAAGCCAGAAAUGAACCAUAGCCAGGGUGCUUCAGGGCACUGUGUCACUUACACCUUGGUUCACCUUGUGAGGACAAGCUGGAAUCCACAGGGAUGAACUGGAACUCCUGAGGGUCUCUAACAACCUCUGAAGAUCUCUCUCUGAUUACAGCUGGACCUGCAGAAGCAGACUAAAUUCAUCACUGAGAACAGGGCCUCCUUCUGCAGUUCAGCGAAACUGUAUCGUGGUGAAUUCACAAGCUCAGCUGGUUCUGGGGGACAGAAAAUCUCCUGUAUCCUGACUAUCAUCUGGUAAGAACAUUUCCACGCUUUGUGACUCACAUGAGCCUUGAUCUCACGGUGCUUUCACUCCCCACUAAUCAUAAUCACAACCUCUGCAUCCUCCGCCCAAGUGUGGAGAAUCUACAUGAAGAAAGUGCCCUUUCAGCUGUAGUUUUUCCCCACAUAGCACUACCCUGAUUUUGGAAAGAGCUCAACUCUUCACCUCCCCUGGGUACAUAGAACAGCAGAAGAGUGAAAACUGCCAAAAUGCUAAUCAUGGAAAAAAAAUAAAACAAGAUCCAGAUGGGGCAAAAUGGACAUAUUUCAUUUAUCCUGGGAAACUCUACAGUAUAUCAUUUGUGAUGCACAAUACACCCAGCCUCGGCCCUUUAUAAACAAAUAGUACGGCAGCAUAUGCCACGAGAUUAUAAACAAGAGUUGUCCAUAAAUUUGACGGGACCAUACACUCAGUGAUGCACACACGGCUAUGGCUUAUUCAGCGGUAUCCGGGGGCUACAGUCUGUUCUCUUGGCUGCUAAUCAACUCUGUAAUCUCAGCUCACCCAACGGGGCAGAAUCCCAGUGGACCAAUUCACCCUAAUGAAACUCAGAGGCAUUUCACACCAAAGAAACCAUGGCUCACUUUGACUUGGCCCACGCUUGCCCUGGGAAACCAUGUUUGAGGCAGUCUGGUUCUAAAGAGCUAGAAAAGCUCUUCUCAAACUUUAGUGGGAAAAAGUAGGCAGUUUAAAAAAGCAAAGAUUCCAAGGGUCCCCCUCCCAAUUCUCAAGCUCAGCCCAUCUCUAUUGAUUCAGGAGAUUUUUGACUAGGGCUCCGCAUUCACCUUUUAACAAGUUCUUCAAGGGCAAGAGCUCCAGAAGACACCUUCAGUGAAACACUGAACAAGUAAAUGAUUAGGUACCUGCAUUUCUGAGCAUAAACAAGUCACUCUUUCAACCUUAUUCAGGAAGGAAACUGUCCCCCAUUCCAGAGGAGUUUAAUACAAGUGUGAUAGACUGUAACUAACUGCUUCGACUGGAACACCCCCAGUAAUGUACUGCAAACCAUUAUACGCCUUAAAAAAACACUAGGCAUGAAAGGGAUUUUCAGUGACCAAUUUCUUACACUUCAUGUGCCCGCUUCACCUUGGCACCCCUGACCUGUAGCUUCCAUGCAGAUGAGUUGUAUGUAGGUUAAUAUCCAGGAUCACUCUCUCUGUUCUGACUGAUUUAAGAAGCAGCAAAACAGCAGGACCAUGAGGGAGCCAGACCCAGGGUAAGUUAGUUGGAUACCUGACUUUAUGCAAAUUACCUCAACAUUCUCUUCCAGAUCACUCAUUUUAAAACUCAAGGUCUAUGUAAAGUUGUUUGCAUGUUGGAGCACAAGGUGGGGGAAAUAAGAGGCUUCUGGAAAUCCACCAGGCUAGAUCAGUGAGUCUGUGGUCCUUGCUGGCAAAGAACACAGAAGGGCAGGAAGUACCCGGGGGAGGGUGCAUACUCCCUUGCUCCUUCCCAAGGAAAGUCAAAACUGAUGCACACCCAUGGAAGCAAAGAAAAGACAGAAGCAAAGGAAUGCCCUGUAUUUUUACACAGUUUAUGUUUUGAUCGUGGCUUUAUUCUUCAAUAACUUUUGGGUUAAUUUUUUAGUUAAAAACUGUUCCUUUUCAUGUAAUGUCCCUCUAAUGUACCUGGCAUGUAUU